rnacentral:rRNA from 1 species
GAUGAACGCUGGCGGCGUGCCUAAUACAUGCAAGUCGAGCGAACAGACGAGGAGCUUGCUCCUCUGACGUUAGCGGCGGACGGGUGAGUAACACGUGGAUAACCUACCUAUAAGACUGGGAUAACUUCGGGAAACCGGAGCUAAUACCGGAUAAUAUAUUGAACCGCAUGGUUCAAUAGUGAAAGACGGUUUAGCUGUCACUUAUAGAUGGAUCCGCGCCGCAUUAGCUAGUUGGUAAGGUAACGGCUUACCAAGGCAACGAUGCGUAGCCGACCUGAGAGGGUGAUCGGCCACACUGGAACUGAGACACGGUCCAGACUCCUACGGGAGGCAGCAGUAGGGAAUCUUCCGCAAUGGGCGAAAGCUUGACGGAGCAACGCCGCGUGAGUGAUGAAGGUCUUCGGAUCGUAAAACUCUGUUAUUAGGGAAGAACAAAUGUGUAAGUAACUAUGCACGUCUUGACGGUACCUAAUCAGAAAGCCACGGCUAACUACGUG